GUUUUUAGAACACUAUAUCUGUCUGAAAAGUUGUAACAUAAUUAAAGCAAUGUUUUUUGGGGGAGUUUAGCGAAUUCCCCCAGUUUUUGGUUUGUGUAUAGAUUGCUCUUCCCCCAGAUUCACCAAAGUCGGAGAGUUCUCUACACUUGUCACUUGUACGGAAACAUUCACAUGUUUCAUUCUGUUGUACUUUGAGAGAACGGG